CUUUUUGUGCAUAAUGUAUAUAUAGGGGGGUGGUAGUACUCUUGGGGUAGAGAGGCAUGUGCUGGGAUGGCAUGCCAAGGCAUGUGCUGGGAUGGCAUGCCUUGGUGUGUGCUGGGAUGGCAUGCCAAGGACAAGCAUGUGCUAGGAAAGCAUGCCAAGGCCAAGGCCAAGGCAAGCACAUGCAUUGUGAGCGAGAUGAGACGGUUGUCUUUACCCCAAGAGUGCCCAAGGGAGAGGAAAGAGGUGUCAAACGCAUGCUGAGCCCCACUUCGGUAGUUUGGCACCCCCAUACACACCCAAUAUCUAUCAUCAAUGGACGUAGUUCCUGCAUGGCCCCAUAGGUAUUCAGGCAAGCGUGCCUAUGGGUAAAGUCGCUUGAGCUUGCCAACACCCAUGUUAGCUGUAGUCUGGACCGAUGAUGGCACAAGGAUGCUUGCUUUAAGGUAACAUUCCGGCAGCACAGCCAGCCUGCAAUUGCUAGUUCAAGCGGGUGGAAUCUGCCUAUAGGGGUGUUGCUUGCUUGCUGUGGAUUUGGGACACGCCCAAUAUCUAUCAUCGACCCAACGAACUGCUCAACAUGGGUUGCUGAGGGCUAUUUUGGCACUGAUGGUUCACGUGUUUGCUUGGCUUUGAUAAAUGUUUAGAUGUCAUGAUGCUUGGGAUCCAAUAAAUUUAUGUGGGAAGCUGAGAGCUGGAACCCAAUGUCAUUCACCAGACGGCUUAACUUCGUCAGUGUGUAUAAUAUGUCAUUGAACCCCAAUCCUCGAUGCCAACCUGAUUAUGACUUUUGGAUCGCAAUUAUCAUGGCUAUCGAAAACUGAGUAGGAGUCAUGGAAUAAGUGAACAAUUUGUAGCCUUUAUAGCUGUCAGCUUUCGCAUCGCCCGGUGUGUUUUGGGAAUCGCUUUGUGCAUUUGGUUGCCUGCCGUGCCUCUUGGCAUACGGUGGGUGCCACUUGUCGGGUGGUUUUCGGAAACAUUCACCGUAAAGGUGCAUGAGUGGUGUUUGGUUUGUUACGGGUGGUUGGCUCUUUGUUUGCGCAACAACUUCCACCUGACUUACCUCUUCAGAUGUUUGCCUAGGCUUGUAUAGCCUAAGCAGAUUGCGGGUUUCCUGUGUUGCCUACCUACGUCACGGAAUUGUCCCGAUCGAUCAAAGUUGCUUUCGUCUUGUGUCGUCUUGAUGGCAUAAGAUGAACCAUGAAGCUGUCUCUUUGCACCGCAUCGUUAAUGCAUGCGUUGAUGUUGUGGCCCAUUGAGCAUUGCUUGGUACCUUGGAUACGGAACCUUAUGUGGGCAUGGGUCCUUGGGGAUCCUUGUUCUGCCCUCGUUUAGCGUUCGCGCUUCUCUUAGAAUGACUGCCUAGCCGGAAUGUUAACCCAUUGUGGAUGGGCAUCGUCAAAGAGGAAUGC
rnacentral:misc_RNA from 1 species